AAAUAACAAUUUCUAGUAGUAUUAGUUCUUAUAUAAUUUAUUAUCCAAGUUUUUGGUUUAUUUUACAAGAGCAUGUACAGCACCAUAUAAAGAAUCUGGGCUCGGUGCAGUGGUUUACGCCUGUAAUCCUAGCAGUUUGGGAGGCUGAGACAAGAGGAUUGCUUAAGGCCAGGAGUUGGAGACCAGCCUGGACAACAUAUUGAGAUCCUGUCUCUACAAAAAACACAAAAAUGAGCGGGCAUGGUGGUGUGUGCCUGUAGUCCCAGCCUCUAGGGAGUCUGAGGCAGGAGGACCACUUCAGCCCAGAGGUUGAGGCUGUGGUGAGAUAUGAUGGUGCCUCUCUACUCCAGUGUGAGCAAAAGAGUGUUUGUCUCAAAAUUAAAAAUAAAAAAGAAUUUGGCUGGGCACAGUGGCUCACGCCUGCAAUCCCAGCAUUUUGGGAGGCCGCCGAGGUGGGCAGAUCACCUGAGGUCGGGAGUUUGAGACCAGCCUGACCAACAUGGAGAAGCCCUGUCUCUGCUAAAAAUACAAAAUUAAUUGGGCAUGGUGGCACAUGCCUGUAAACCCAGCUACUCGGGUGGCUAAGGCAAAAGAAUCGCUUGAACACAGGAGGUGGAGGUCACGGUGAGCCGAGAUCGCACCAUUGCACUCCAGCCUGGGCAAUAAGAGUGAAACUCUAUCUCAAAAAUAAAAUAAAAUAUAAAAUAAAUAAGAAUCUAGUAGGCAAUAAUAUGCUUAAUGGUUCUGAUGAAACAUGUUAUAGAAUAUUUUCAAGUUUUCCUUAAGACUUCCAAUAGGACAUAGUAAUAGUAAAUAAUUGAAAUAAAAACACUUUCCCAAAAUUUGGGAUGAUAGAUAAGCAUAAGUUUUUUAAUCCAUUUCUAGUUAUAUCUAUAAUGUAAUUUGAUUGUGCAAUUACAAAUUUCAUCUUAUUUUCUCCAUCUCCAUACCACUAUUUGGAAAGAGAGGUGACUACUUAACAGCUGGAACUGUGAAUACAGAAUAAAUUGAAGAGCAUCUAAAUGUGUGUGUUGCUCCAAUAAAUAUUUUAGACAUCAGAGACAGUUGGUAUUGUCAGCCUCUAAGUCUCAGGUAUAUUUCCUCUGUUUAUUUUGACCCUACUACCCACUAUUGUUUCUCUUUGACACAGUCUCUUCUUAUUUCACAAUAUCAAAGGCACAAACACUAGGUAGGCCUUUUUCAUAGAAUCAGUUUAAUAUAGACUAACAUGAAUGAUGAUAUACAAAGAACUGUUAAUGAAAACUAUCUAUACCUGGUGGUUCAUGGGUUAAGCUCAGUUGUCACCCGACAUCUCCAAAAUGAUUUUUGACCUGGAUUUGUUCCUUAUACAUAUGACCAUCUCCUUCCAUUAACUCAGGUUAAGUAGAAGCUAAAACAGAAUAGACUAAACCAGGAGUAGAUCACCAAUCUGAUUAAAUCUAACAAUUUGUACAUCUGUGCCUGACUUUCAUCACUUCUUAUGAUUGUGUAUAAAGUACCUGCUGUUGAAUGAGGGAUUAAGCCCAUUCCAAUUAUUGAUGCUUUUUAACUUUACAGAUGUCAAAGACAUUCCUUCAAACCUGUUCACUUCCAGAGCAAGGCUUUUCCAGAUGGGAAUUAGAAAGCAAGAUUUGACAAAAUCUGCUUCUCUGUUACUGAAUAUAAAGGAAUAUUACGAGAUAUCCAGAGAUGGCCAAAUAGGAACAGCGCUGGAAUGCAGUUCCCAGCAAGAACAAUACAGAAGGUUAUAAACAUCUUCAGAACAAGGACUAAAUCUUACUCAUCUUUAUUAAGAACUGUCAAUGGACCACACCAGAAAAUCCAUGGAUAUGCUGUGAGACUGUGACCAAUUGUACAUUCAACAUUUUUCUUACUUGUGAGACUGAUUUUGAGAAAAUUUGCUAUCACAGCAUCACUAAACAUUAGAGCAGGAAAGGACUCCUGCAAUGAUUUUAUUUACCGACCAUAUUUUACCAGUAAGAAAACUAAGGCAUAGAGAAGUUGAGACUUUCUACACACCAGGGCCUAGUCUUUACGAUGCUUAUGCCUAACCCAGAGCCCUUUCCUCUAUAUAAUGCUGCCUCAUGACAUUUCUGAAAGAUGGAGAAGUUUCAUAAAAACAGGAUGAAAGACUUUGGAAGUUUCCAGAUGCUAUCAGGCUAUCUUCUCAGAGACCUUUCAAUGAUUUGUCCAACAGAAAGAGACUAAAAAGGCUUAUAAGGAUAUCAACAUCCCAAUGUUGUACUUAUGGUUUGAGUUUACAUCUCUAAUUACAGAAUUUGAUUAUUUAAAAAAAUCUUUAUAUCAAAUCUUGGUUUAUACUUUAAAUUUUUUGAUAUUUAUUAUGUAUCAGCUGACACUUCCUCUAUACUCCAAACAAACAGAAACUCCAAAAUAAAAACCGCCAGAGCAUAUAAGUGUUCUUUCUCAUUUUAUAGAUAAAGAAUCUCAAAGAAAGCAACUUUGUCAGUAUUAGGAUUGUGACCUUAACCUGGAGAGUAGCCAGGAGGAAUCUGUUCUCAUAUUGUAGAUACCAGGACAUUCUGACAGGUGCUAGUAAGUCUGCUCCAGCCACCACUGCCAAUGAGCUGUGUCCCUGUUCAGCUCAGUUUCCCCAUUCACUUUCAGGUGAUUAAAAUGUCAUGCUUUACCAUGCCCAGUUAUAAUACUAGUGGCAAUCUGUUGUACCAUCUCAAAGAGACAUUGAUGCUCAUAGGAGCAAGUAUUCACAGACACUGAAAAAGUAGAACUAUCUUGGGAAUUUGUGAAAAUGACAUGGAAUAACAUCGAGAACUGCUUCAUUCAUGGGAUGUAGGCAAUGAUUUUCGUAAGGUAUUUGCAAAAUGCAUGCCAUUUGUAUGUAGGAAGAAGAAUGGCAACAGAGGGAAUAUUACAGUGAAAUUUGGCUUUAUACCUUGCCAUGUACUUUACCAUGUUUCAUCUCAAAGCACAUUUUGUUGCCUAUUUCAAGUUAAAGUCCUGACUUCUGACACUGAGCUUUGAUGUGCCCCCACAAUACGGCUCCCCUACCAUGCACUUCUAUUGCUUCCUCCCUUCGUAUCUUACUGCUUUAGUCAACACAGCCUGUUCAUGAUACUUACAGCAUGCUGAUUCAGCAAAAUUCAAAGAAACAAACAUUUGAUAAAUGUCCACCAUAUGUUUGGAAGUUUGCUAAGAACUAUAGAGGGCAAGAAAUGGCAUUUCUUUUGUCCCUAAGUAAUUGCAAAUCUAAUGGGAAAGACAAGUAAGUGCAUACCUUAAUCCGAUAUGAAGCAGAGUGAGCAGUAGGGAGGGCAAAAAUGUUGAAAAGUAAAUUGGGUUAAAUGAGGAUAUCAAAAGAUUUAUUUAAGUGUGUGUGUAUUUUUUAUACAUAGGGAGCCUCUAAAAGGUUUUGAAUAGGGAAAGAAUGAGCAGAACAUGAGGUGGACAUUAUGAAGGAUAGGCUAGAGAGACAGAUAUUAAAAUUAGGUAAGCCAUACUUUAAGAAGGUUGUAAUAGCAGUUCAUGUCAGGUAUGAUAAAGGCCUGAAAGGUAAUCACUGAUAGUAGAAGUGAGAUGAAAGAGAUGCAUUCCAUGACUUUGUAAUAUGAAUGCCUUUAUAUUACAGUGGUUAAGCAUGUGAAUUCCAGAGUCACACACAGGUUUGCAUCAUGUUUCUGCUGUUCAUUAGCUAUGUUACCUUAAAUGAAUUAGCAAACUGAUCUGUGUAUGAGCAUUCAUACAUCUAAAGGGGAGAUUAUGUUGGCACUCAAGUCAAAAGUACUAAUUUUAAAAAAUUCAUGUUGAUUAUUUCUGUCACAUGAAAUAAUCUUUAUAAAAUUCCUGCCACAGAGUAAGUACACAAUAAACAUUCAAUAUUAUUGUGGAGAAGAUGGUUGAAGAAUUUGAUCAGAAUAUCCUCCCCGCUAAGUUUUUUUUUCCUUUCCACUCUGCCUUGUUGAAAUCUGCCCAUCUCCACUGCAUUCCACUAUGAAGAGUUCCUUGAAUAGUUCUAUGCACAAUGAUCUUUCCUACCCCUGCAUUUCUAAAAUACUGAUCAUCUAUACUAAUCAUAAGACACUUACAAUAUACCUCAUCCUGUUAAAUAUAUUUCUUUGAUACAAUUUUUUAAUUGAUAAUAUGUCAAUUCCUGUUUAUCAGCAUUUAAAUAAAUUGUAAUGCAGAUUAACCAGAGAAAAUGAUUUCACUUCAGGCUCAUUUCUUGGUGAUAGAAUCCACUUCUAGAUCCUCAGCUCAAAGUCUUUAAGAGAAAAAUAUAGUAAGUUAAAAAUAUCUCUGUACGUGGUGGUGAUAAAAGCUGGGUACCUGUGGAAAAGCGGAAGAGCUCCAGCAUGGGGACCAGCAAGCACAAGGGCUCCAGCUCUCCGAGAGACCAAGCAUGGAGGAGCCAAAUCCAUUUUAUAAUAACUCACAAAAAUACUUGAAUUUAAUUUAAAUUUGUAGGGCAAAGCUGCCCUUUAUAACAAUUGCUAUUUUUUUCCCACUAUUUACCGUAUUCUAAAAGAGGCUUAAUAUUACUUUGUCUGAAAUAGAAGGCAGUCAGUCUUACUUUAAGGAAUCUUCUAUUUCUUUUAAAAGUGAUAGAUGCUAAAAUGCUUCUAUAGCAGAACUAGAAAAAAAGAAAAGACUGGCCAAAGUAAUUUCCUCUCAUUCUAUUGAGUUGAUUUAAUAAGCCUUGUGUUAGUAGAGCUACAUAAACAAUUUUAUGAAAUGGCAUAAUAUUUUGAGAGUACAAAUGUGUAUAUGGGACAUUUACACAUGAGAAUCAAAGGAAUUUUGUUUUGAAAUAUGCGCUUUUAAUACAGAUUCCUACCAUAGAGUAGAAAUUGAAAUUAUAUUGCAGAUUUCUGCUUUUCAUAACUUUAUGAAUUUUUCACAAAACAUCUAGGUCUUUCUUUUCUUUUGAAGAUCUAAAUCGUAUCUUCUCUUUCCUUCUGUCAAUCUUCCCAAACGUAUUGGUAUUCUAUUUUGUGAGAGGUAUUAACUCUUCUAUACAAUAAUUAUUCAAAGAAAAUCUCACUUAUUCUUGUUAAGUUUGGGUUGCAAGUGUAAAAAUCUAUAAGACAAUCAAAAUAGUGGCAGGAAAAAAUGAAAAGGAAUAUGCAGUUGCUGACUAACAUUAAUCUGACAAAUUUUAAAUAUGUUUCCAACAAAGACACCCAAAUGCUUCAUAAGUCUCAUUUUAGUUGUGUCAUUGCAUUGUCUGAGACUGUAUAAAUAUAUGUGUAUGUAAUGUAUACAUCCUUAUUCUACAUUUUGUAUAUUUUAUCAUAUAUAUAGGUGUGUACACACAUUCACAUACAUUUCAUAUCUAUUGCAUCAACUCCUUCAUAAUAAAAGCGGUAUGUAUAACUUCCAAAUAAAAUGGUUUAAAGAAGAAAUUUCUUGCUUGCCACUUAAUAUCUUUUUCCCUUCUUGCAAGAUGGGACGUGGACUAGCAUGUGUAAUCCAACCUCAAACAAUUCAGAGAACACUGUAGAAAAUGGAAGAGUAACAAGAUAUCUAUAGGAAAGAGCUUCCCUACUGGCUUGGAAAUGCUCAUCCCUGGAUCAUUAGAUAAGAAAGAAAUAAAAUUCUAUUUUGUUUGAGCCUUUGAAUUUUAGGGUGUUGUUGUUGUUGUUACAGCUGCUUAAAAUAUACCAAAGUAAUACAUUUGCCAUCUUGACUUUUUAAUUUGUGCAUCCUUCCCUUUUCAUUCCUGUUCUCUCAAAGCCUUUUUUUUUUUUUUCAUAUAAACCUCCCAACAUAAAUAUUUUC